CAGCAGCCACGGUAAUACAGAGGGUGCGAGCGUUAAUCGGAUUUACUGGGCGUAAAGCGUGCGUAGGCGGCUAAUUGAGUCGGAUGUGAAAUCCCCGAGCUUAACUUGGGAAUUGCAUUCGAUACUGGUUAGCUAGAGUGUGGGAGAGGAUGGUAGAAUUCAAGGUGUAGCGGUGAAAUGCGUAGAGAUCUGGAGGAAUACCGAUGGCGAAGGCAGCCAUCUGGCCUAACACUGACGCUGAGGUACGAAAGCAUGGGGAGCAAACAGGAUUAGAUACCCCCGUAGUCCCUGUCUCUUAUAA
rnacentral:rRNA from 1 species